GGGGACGCGGCCGCCCCGGCGCCGACGGGACGCGGGGCGGGCCGCGGGCCGCGGGCUGCAGGACGGCGGGCGCUGGGUUCGGCCUGGCUGGGCCAGCGGCUCCUAACACCGGACGGGCGGCUGCGGCGGCACUUCCGGGUUGGCCUUCUCCAUGUUGGUCUCGGGAACGUGAAGGGGCGGGGCCUCGAGGUCAGGGGUCAGCGCCUCCCUGGUUGCCGUGGCGACUGGAGCACGCGACGCGGGCGCGAUGGCGGGGACUCUAGGCCCGGGACUUGAUGCUGCUUGGGCCUGGCCCAGUGGCGGGUCCUGGGGACGUGGCAGAGGCCGGCAGACUAGAGUUUUCAUCUCAUGGAAAAUUCAGAAUCAGAAUCAAAAACAGCUGAGGUAGUUACUCGGGUGCCUUCCUUCAGCUUAUUCAAAAGAACAUAGGAUGAACGACUCUCAGAAGGUGAUGGAUGGGAUAUUCUGAAAGUUGGAAGGCAGGCUUUGAGCCACAGAGAGCCACUGCAACAUUUGAAGAUUCUGGUGAUGAUGCUGACUGCCUGGCCACCUAAGAGGAAGAAAGGUUUGCCAACCCUUCUCUCAUGCUCACCGUCCAUCUUCCAUCACCUUUCCCCCUU